rnacentral:rRNA from 1 species
GACGAACGCUGGCGGCGUGCUUAACACAUGCAAGUCGAACGCUGAAGCUCAGCUUUUGUUGGGUGGAUGAGUGGCGAACGGGUGAGUAACACGUGAGUAACCUGCCCCCUUCUUUGGGAUAACGCCCGGAAACGGGUGCUAAUACUGGAUAUUCACUGGUCUUCGCAUGGGGGUUGGUGGAAAGGGUUUUUCUGGUGGGGGAUGGGCUCGCGGCCUAUCAGCUUGUUGGUGGGGUGAUGGCCUACCAAGGCUUUGACGGGUAGCCGGCCUGAGAGGGUGACCGGGCACAUUGGGACUGAGAUACGGCCCAGGCUCCGACGGGGGGCAGCAGUGGGGAAUAUUGCACAAUGGGCGCAAGCCUGAUGCAGCGACGCCGCGUGAGGGAUGGAGGCCGUCGGGUUGUGAACCUCUUUCGCUCAUGGUCAAGCCGCAACAAUGGUUGUGGUGAGGGUAGUGGGUAAAGAAGCGCCGGCUAACUACGUG